GCUCCCUCGGCCAUGAUCCCUUCCUCUUCCUCACUUUCAGACUCUGCCUUGCUGCUAGGUAGAUGAGGAACUACCAACGACAUCUCUCCAGGGCACUGGAAGUGUUUCACGAAAUCUCUGGGUCUCAACAAUAAUGUACUUCGAAAAGGAGGCUGAUUACGUUGACUGAAAUUCAUCCUGGCAAAAGGCCUUUGCUGCAGCUGGUUCCAUUUACAUUUUGUAUUUUUGGAGCUUGUGCCUGUUCCAGGGAGGGAUGGGAUAAUUGAUUUAAAUCAAAUUAUGAAACGUGAUACUCUGAAUUCCUAAAAACAUGUUUCCUGGCACUGCCUUCAGCAACGGAGCCUCACAGAACUCUCCAGUGGAACUUGAGAAAACAAUUCUUUCUCCAAAUACUGUGACUGACUAAUUGUAGUCCCUGGAACCAUCCAGAUAGCUGGGUUCAAAUUGCACCACUGUAGCUGUGACUGCUUUUGCAACUUUUGGUAAGAUAUUUAAUUCCUGAGUGCCUCAGUUUUUUAUUUGUGAAAUAACACCAACCA
rnacentral:lncRNA from 1 species